AUCUAUGGCCAUGCUACCUUGAAUGUGCCCUAUCUUGUCUCAUCUCAGAAGCUAAGCAGGGUCAGGCCUGGUUAGUACUUGAAUGGGAGACCACCUCAGAAGACCAGGUGCUGUAGGCA
rnacentral:rRNA from 1 species